rnacentral:rRNA from 1 species
GUAAUGCCGGAUGCUCCAUCACACCGCAUGGUGUGUUGGGAAAGCCUUUGCGGCAUGGGAUGGGGUCGCGUCCUAUCAGCUUGAUGGCGGGGUAACGGCCCACCAUGGCUUCGACGGGUAGCCGGCCUGAGAGGGCGACCGGCCACAUUGGGACUGAGAUACGGCCCAGACUCCUACGGGAGGCAGCAGUGGGGAAUAUUGCACAAUGGGCGCAAGCCUGAUGCAGCGACGCCGCGUGAGGGAUGGAGGCCUUCGGGUUGUAAACCUCUUUUGUUAGGGAGCAAGGCAUUUUGUGUUGAGUGUACCUUUCGAAUAAGCACCGGCUAACUACGUGCCAGCAGCCGCGGUAAUACGUAGGGUGCAAGCGUUAUCCGGAAUUAUUGGGCGUAAAGGGCUCGUAGGCGGUUCGUCGCGUCCGGUGUGAAAGUCCAUCGCUUAACGGUGGAUCCGCGCCGGGUACGGGCGGGCUUGAGUGCGGUAGGGGAGACUGGAAUUCCCGGUGUAACGGUGGAAUGUGUAGAUAUCGGAAAA